rnacentral:rRNA from 1 species
UGCAAGUCGAGGGGUAACAUUGUGCUUGCACAGAUGACGACCGGCGCACGGGUGCGUAACGCGUAUAGAAUCUACCUUUUGCUGCAGGAUAGCCCAGAGAAAUUUGGAUUAAUACUGCAUAGUAUACACUACUUUCAUGAGUUAUGUAUUAAAGGUUACGGCAAAAGAUGACUAUGCGUCCUAUUAGCUAGAUGGUAAGGUAACGGCUUACCAUGGCAACGAUAGGUAGGGGCCCUGAGAGGGGGAUCCCCCACACUGGUACUGAGACACGGACCAGACUCCUACGGGAGGCAGCAGUGAGGAAUAUUGGACAAUGGAGGCAACUCUGAUCCAGCCAUGCCGCGUGCAGGAUGACUGCCCUAUGGGUUGUAAACUGCUUUUAUACAGGAAGAAACAUCGCUACGUGUAGCGACUUGACGGUACUGUAAGAAUAAGGAUCGGCUAACUCCGUGCCAGCAGCCGCGGUAAUACGGAGGAUCCAAGCGUUAUCCGGAAUCAUUGGGUUUAAAGGGUCCGUAGGUGGAUAAUUAAGUCAGAGGUGAAAGUUUGCAGCUCAACUGUAAAAUUGCCUUUGAUACUGGUUAUCUUGAAUCAUUAUGAAGUGGUUAGAAUAUGUAGUGUAGCGGUGAAAUGCAUAGAUAUUACAUAGAAUACCAAUUGCGAAGGCAGAUCACUAAUAAUGUAUUGACACUGAUGGACGAAAGCGUGGGGAGCGAACAGGAUUAGAUACCCUGGUAGUCCACGCCGUAAACGAUGGAUACUAGCUGUUCGGUUUUCGGACUGAGUGGCUAAGCGAAAGUGAUAAGUAUCC